rfam:Comamonadaceae bacterium SCN 68-20 ABT02_C0007, whole genome shotgun sequence.
GGGGCUGUCCUGGUUUCGACGUGGGUUCGGAAUCGGUGCGGUGCAUGUCGAGCUUGAGUGAUGCUCGUAAAUCUCCAUUCACUAAAGUAACUGCAAACGACGAACGUUUCGCACUCGCCGCUUAAAUCCGGUGAGCCUUGCAACAGCACGCUGAUGGGCUGGGCAAGGGGGUAGUGAUACCUCCAGGCUGCAAGGGAAUUCACAUCAGCUGGCCGUCUGCCGGGUACCUUGGCAGAGGGUGAGAUUAAAGGGUGCUGGCUGUCGGCAUAGCGUGCGUCUGCGCGAUGCCGACGGCGAGAUUCAAAACAGAGCGCUAAACAUGUAGAUCUGCUCGACGAAGGCUUGCGGACGCGGGUUCAAUUCCCGCCAGCUCCACCA